CCAUCAUCCGGACAUUCCGAAAUGAGAAUAGAACUGAAAGAUUACCAACACAAGGUGGUCGGGAACGUGUUCUGUCUCCUGAACAGGAAACUGAAAUCAUGAACAUGGUCCUAGAAAAUAACGCCAUAACAUUACGGCAAAUACAAA